GCCGGCAGAAAUGUCCGGCUCCCACCGCGAUGUGGAGCAACAACAGUGAGCGAAAUUCCUUGUCGGGUAAGUUCCGACCUGCACGAAUGGCGUAACGAUCUGGGCACUGUCUCAACUACCCACCCGGCGAAAUUGUAGUACCGGUGAAGAUGCCGGUUACCUGCGGCAAGACGGAAAGACCCCAUGGAGCUUUACUGCAGCUUGAUAUUGGGUUUUGGUAUUUUAUGUACAGGAUAGGCGGGAGGCAGCGAAACGGAGACGCCAGUUUCCGCGGAGUCAACCUUGGGAUACCGCUCUUAGAGUGCUGAAAUUCUAACCUGCGGCCGUUAUCCGGUCGGGGGACAUUGUCAGGUGGGCAGUUUGACUGGGGCGGUCGCCUCCAAAAGAGUAACGGAGGCGCUCAAAGGUUCGCUCAGCAUGGACGGAAACCAUGCCCUUGAGUGCAAACGCAUAAGCGAGCCUGACUGCGAGGCUGACGGGCCGAGCAGGAACGAAAGUUGGAGUUAGUGAUCCGGCGGUAUGUGAGUGGAAAUGCCGUCGCUCAACGGAUAAAAGCUACCCUGGGGAUAACAGGCUUAUCUCCCCCAAGAGUCCACAUCGACGGGGAGGUUUGGCACCUCGAUGUCGGCUCAUCACAUCCUGGGGCUGAAUUCAGUCCCAAGGGUUCGGCUGUUCGCCGAUUAAAGUGGCACGCGAGCUGGGUUCAGAACGUCGUGAGACAGUUCGGUCCCUAUCUAUUGCGGGCGUUGGAGAUUUGAAGGGAGCUGUCCUUAGUACGAGAGGACCGGGAUGGACGUACCUCUGGCGCACCGGUUGUCCUGCCAAGGGCAUAGCCGGGUAACUAUGUACGGACGAGAUAAACGCUGAAGGCAUCUAAGCGUGAAACUCUCCCUGAGAUUAUAUCUCCCACCCCUUGAGGGUGUAAGGCACCGGAAAGACUAUCCGGUUGAUAGGCCGGAGGUGUACGCACGGUAACGUGUUUAGCCGACCGGUACUAAUCUGCCGAGGGCUUGACUAA
rnacentral:rRNA from 1 species